rnacentral:tRNA from 1 species
GGGAUUGUGGCUCAGUGGUAGAGUGCUUGCCUAACAUGCAUGAGGCCCAGUUCGAUCCCCAUCACC